UACGGAGGGUGCGAGCGUUGUCCGGAAUCACUGGGCGUAAAGGGCGCGUAGGCGGCCGAGCAAGGUCGCGGUGAAAGCCCGGGGCUCAACCCCGGGUCGGCCGUGGCAACUACUCGGCUUGAGCACUGUAGGGGCGGGUGGAAUUCCGGGUGUAGCGGUGGAAUGCGUAGAGAUCCGGAAGAACACCGGUGGCGAAGGCGGCCCGCUGGGCAGGAAGGCUCGCAAGAGCCGGCUGACGCUGAGGCGCGACAGCGUGGGGAGCAAACAGG
rnacentral:rRNA from 1 species